UACGUAGGGUGCGAGCGUUAAUCGGAAUUACUGGGCGUAAAGCGUGCGCAGGCGGUGAUGUAAGUCAGACGUGAAAUCCCCAGGCUCAACCUGGGAACUGCGUCUGAUACUGGAUGGCUCGAGUUCGGGAGAGGGAAGUGGAAUUCCAGGUGUUAGCGGUGAAAUGCGUAGAUAUCUGGAGGAACACCGGUGGCGAAGGCGGCUUCCUGGACCGACACUGACGCUGAGGCGGACGAAAGCGUGGGGGAGCAAAACAGG
rnacentral:rRNA from 1 species